rnacentral:misc_RNA from 1 species
CGCAGCCACGGUAAUUCCAGCUCCAAUAGCGUAUAUUAAAGUUGUUGCAGUUAAAAGCUUGUAGUUGAAUUUCGGGAUUGACACAUCAGUCGUGCCUUAAGGGGUAUGAACUGGUGUAGUCAAUUUCUCACCUUCUGGAGAACUGUGAUGCCCUUAAUUGGGUGCCAGGACCUUUACUUUGAAAAAUUAGAGUGUUUAAAGCAGCAUUUUGCUUGGAUACAUUAGCAUGGAAUAAUAAAAUAGGAUGGCAUGAUUCUAUUUUGUUGGUUUCUAGGAUCACCAUAAUGAUUAAUAGGGAUAGUUGGGGGCAUUAGUAUUCAAUUGUCAGAGGUGAAAUUCUUGGAUUUUAUUGAAGACUAACUACUGCAAAAGCAUUUGCCAAGGAUGUUUCAUUAAUCAAGAAUGAAA